GAUGAACGCUGGCGGCGUGCUUAACACAUGCAAGUCGAACGGGAUCCCAGGAGCUUGCUCCUGGGUGAGAGUGGCGAACGGGUGAGUAAUGCGUGACCGACCUGCCCCAUACACCGGAAUAGCUCCUGGAAACGGGUGGUAAUGCCGGAUGCUCCAGUUGGAUGCAUGUCCUUCUGGGAAAGAUUCUAUCGGUAUGGGAUGGGGUCGCGUCCUAUCAGGUAGUCGGCGGGGUAACGGCCCACCGAGCCUACGACGGGUAGCCGGCCUGAGAGGGCGACCGGCCACAUUGGGACUGAGAUACGGCCCAGACUCCUACGGGAGGCAGCAGUGGGGAAUAUUGCACAAUGGGCGCAAGCCUGAUGCAGCGACGCCGCGUGCGGGAUGACGGCCUUCGGGUUGUAAACCGCUUUUGACUGGGAGCAAGCCCUUCGGGGUGAGUGUAC
rnacentral:rRNA from 1 species